UCUUCCUUCUAGUUUUGGAGCUUUUUGUUCAAAGGGGUGAUUUGUUUCACUCUGUUGCUGGAAGUUUUAGCAGAGAACCUGAUGCUCUGUGGUACCCAAGCUUUGGGAGAAUCUCCCUGACUGAUCUAUCUACAUGCUUCUGUGGGCAGGGAUGCUGGACUGUUUCUAUCUCAGGGAGUAGCGGGACCAAGACAGAACUAGGUGGCUGUCAUAAGGCAAAAGGUUUAAGGCAAAGGCUCAAAUCACCUGUGAAAAGAAAGAUUCUUGUCUAAAAUGAGAGAUCAUGCUGCACAAAGGGACUGCAGAACUCAGAGGGAACUUUUGACAAGCGCUUUGGCAUAAGACGCAUAUCUCCCCACUCCCUUCAGCCUUCCCGGAGGGGCUCCAACUUUCAAUCUCUUGUUCACCUUUGCCGUAGCCUCAGAAACUCACUCUGCUGUCUGAAGUCUAGCUCUGGGCUGGGAGAGAAGAGAGACUGGCAAUGUAUGUCCUCGCAUCUUUCCCUGGAACAGAGCUGAUGGAAGAGGUUAAAUGGUAAUGACAAUGUUUUAAAAUUUUUAAUAUUUUUCUUGCCCACAUCAUAUUAUAUUUUUUGUGUUUAAAUUACAUAUUAUGUUUCCUUGCCCAUAUUAUAUUUGUUUUCAAAGUCGAAUUGUGCUCAUAUAGUAGGUCUGUGGACAUUAAUAAGGGUAUAUAUCUUUAGGUUUUGGAAGAGCAAAAAAGAAAAAAAGUAGGACAGUAUGUUCAUACAAUAUACUAAGAAUUACUCUGUAUAAUACAAGGCUAAGUUCAAUGGUGGCUUCUAGCACCAGGCUCCUCUGUCCAUGGAAUUCUCCAGGCAAGAUUACUGGAAUGGAUAGCCAUUCCCUUCUCCGGGUGAUCUUCCUGACCCAGGGAUCAGACCCAGGGAUCAAUCCCAAGUCUCCUGCAUUGCAGGUGGAUUCUUUACCAUCUGAGCCACCAGGGAAGCCCAGAUAAGCAAAAGGACCCCUAUUUUUGCUCAUGGGGUCCUUCCACUAAAAACAAUCAUUUCAGAAGAUAUCCUUUCAACUCUGCCCAACUGAUAUUUGAAAUUUUCCAUGAAUCCCGUUCUCUGCCCUCUGGGUUAAAUCACUAAUCUUGCCUUCAUUCUUGGGGAUGAGACCCUAGAUCCUAGCUAGAUACCACUUUUACCAGAACUUUACACAACUACUUCCAGGGCAGGCCUUGACUUGCUUUCUUGGGCAUCAAAACUUUUAGCUAAACAAAGUAAUAUAUCUUUUAUAAUUUAUUUUUGUGUUAAACUAAAUCCAUUUCUUAUUUGUUUGCCCAGUGUCCAACAAAUUUCAAUAUUUGGGGAUCAGAGACUCACAGAGAUGGCUUUAUUGUAAUUUGCAUUUUUCCUAAUUUCUAAAAGAACUUGAGAAACAAUUUGAAGCAUUCUUAGAUUUCGUUGUAGUUUUCAAAACAUGCUUGUGAGGGAGUUAAAUGAGAAACAGGUGCUUAAAAUAAACUAUUGCUAUUUUUAUGAAUCAUG